rnacentral:rRNA from 1 species
CUCGUAGGCGGUUCGUCGCGUCCGGUGUGAAAGCCCAUCGCCUAACGGUGGAUCUGCGCCGGGUACGGGCGGGCUGGAGUGCGGUAGGGGAGACUGGAAUUCCCGGUGUAACGGUGGAAUGUGUAGAUAUCGGGAAGAACACCAAUGGCGAAGGCAGGUCUCUGGGCCGUUACUGACGCUGAGGAGCGAAAGCGUGGGGAGCGAACAA